rnacentral:ncRNA from 1 species
AUAGAGGGGAGCGUAAGGCUGAGAAAGGUUCGUCCUGACCCUGUGACCUGAUUUGGAUAAUGCCAGCGUAGGGAGUUAUGGAA